CCCUCCUUGCUUUUUCUUUUCUUUUAUUUUCUUCCUAAAGAUAGAGCUACUCAAAAAAUAACUAGAAAGAGAGAAACCCACUGAUUGGAUUCAAGGUGUGUUUAUGGGUCAAUGUGUGUUUAAGGCUGAUAUUCAAAAAGCAACAUAGUCACUAGAAAAUAGCAAAAGUUCUAUCCUACAGGUUCAUCAGGACAAAGACAAAAAUUCCUUAAAAUUAUCUCAAAAGAGUGAAGAAUAUCAGAAAAUGUUAACAGACUGGAUAAAAAUGUAGAUAUUCAGGAAAGUCUAAAACCAUUCAUAAUAAGCUCAAAAAUUAAAAGAAGAAAUAAACAAUCUCAAUGAACCUAGUAAAGCCACAUCCACAAGCAUAGGCCAAGUCACACAUGACAGAGAAUGACAGAUCUGAUCCCUGUCUACAGCCAGGGAAGUCUGACACCCUCGCCUGGCCCCCUUCUUGAUAGUAACACUGUGGGGGGCAGAGAGGGGUGACUUGGACUAGGAUACGUAAAGUGAAUCCGGAAAAGAGACAACCUGGAUGAUCAAGCAGGAACUGAUUUAAAGGAAUUGAUGUCUGCUGCUAAGGUGGACUUCAUUUCCCAGCCUCCUUUGUGGCUAGGUGUUGUCAUGUGACUGCGUUCUAGCCAGUGGACAAUGGUAGUAUGAAGCCCUGAGGGCUGAGACCACAUCUGCCUGGUUUUCUGUGGCAGCUGCAGCAUCAACACUGGCUCUUCGAAGAGUAGCAGCUGAUGAACAUUACUCCGGCAAACAAUUUUCUCUGCUAGGAACUGGAUAAAUGCAAAGGAAGGAGGGGAGAGUGUGUCAGACGGGGACCCUGCCCUACUGGAGCACACGCAUCACCACCUGGGUUAGGACGGCCUCACCCGUCCCCUGGACCUUCACCUUAUGUCCCAGAGAGGAGACAUCUGCUAGAGCAAAGAAAAUUCAUUGUCAUAUAAAACAAACAAGAAAACACACACACACAUGUGCACACACACAUACAGAAAGCAAAUAAAACAUUGUUAGAUGAUGUAAAUUGUCA
rnacentral:lncRNA from 1 species